UGCUUCUUACAUGUGAAUCUGUGUGUUUACAUUCUUUUGAUAUCAACGUGGUAAGCUGCAAUUCUGUCCAAUGUCACAAAUGUUUGUUCACGAAUGUGUUGUUGCUUGCCACUCUAUUCAUGGUUUUUGUCCAUACUUGCGCUUAUUUUAGAAUCAUUUUUAGAAACAUAUAUGCCUUCUGAUACUACACAAACUCUUGGAGGCAAGAAACUAACUCGAAUAAUUGGGAAAUUACGUAGGGAAUGGAUGCAAACAAACAUUAUGCUUACGACGCGUCUGACGUUCACCUUACCUGCCGCGCUGAGCGCUAGUGUUGCUCCAUCUGUCAAACGGCAACUUUUACAGCAGUGAGGUUCGCGACUGUUAUGUUAGACUGUGGUACAUAGUUCACAUAGCAGAAUACAUAUAUGAGAUACAGACAGAAUAUAGAUAAGAUACAAUAAUUAAAUUAUCUUACUAAGUAGAAACAUCUACAACUGAAUAAACAGCUUAUUGCAAGCCAUGCAUUGCACGAUAGUGCUGAUGAGCAUCUUGUGAAAACUUUUGGGCUGUCUGUCUCUUCCAUGCCGGGUGUAGAAUACUCGGUGUUGCAAUUGCCUACAAUACUGUCAACUGCUUCUACUGUUGACAGGCUGGACUUGGAGCCAUAUUGUGAGUCACUUAGAAUAUUUUUUACAGACAACUUUGACCGAUUUGGAGCUUUAUGUAAUUUUUUUAGUUUUCAGUUUAGUUUAUUAGCAUACUUUGCAUCACUUGUAUGAUAUGGGAACUGUCACAAUUCUUCAAAUUAAUACAACAAAAUAUAAAAUUAUUAUUUUACAAUGUUUUAAAAAUGACACAAUGAACUAAUGCAUUGGAGUUAAACAUCCUCUCUGAACAAGUAAAUAAGGAUUCGACAUACAUAUAGUACACUUCAAGAACACACAUUUAUCACAUCAUUUACAGUCAAGAGGAAACAAAUGAAAUAUAAGAUUUACAAUGAGAACAGCAUGAUUGUACUGAUAAUGAAGUAAAUACAAGUGUUUGUUGGUGAUUUAGGGAUACAAAAUAUCCCUCCAUGUUAUAAAGACAUUUAUUUAACAGUUAACUUUCUAAUUUCAGACUUAAAUUGUCCCUCCUCUACGAUUCCCUUGAUGCAAAUUGGCAGAGCAUUAUACAGCUUUAUUCCAUAAAAACUCAAAUGUUUUUGAGUUUUUUGUUUUUCUUGCUGUUUCUACUGCAGAUUCUUACUGGUACAUAUAUCAUCAUUUUGGAAAUCAGAAUUUAUAUGUAAACUACUCAAGUGUGUUCUUGUGCGUAGUACUCUUUUGAAUACAUACAAAUAUGGUGCUGUAUGUGUUUUUAACUGCAUGAAUGAAGGCCUGCAGUGUGUUUGUGGAGAGCUGUGUGUAAUAAUUCUAAUGGCUCUUUUCUGUAAUUUAAAAAUGUUUCUCAAAUGAGAUUUUGUUACACCCCAGAACAUUAUUCCGUAAGAUACAAUAGAGCAGAUACAAGAAAAAUGCACUAAUCUUGCAAAAUCUGUGCUACAAGAGGAAUUAUUCGUAAUGCAAAACGAGCAGAACUGAGUUUUGAGGAUAUGCAUAUGACAUGGUCUUUCCAGCUCAAGUCAUGAUCAGUAUACAUGCCCAAAAUUUUUGUAGACUGUACUUUCUGUGUUCCUGGUCACCCAAUAAUAAAUGGUCAUCCUUUUCAUUUACUUUACUAUACUGGCAUGCAAUUUGUUUUGUUUAAAUUAAGUUCUAACUUAUUAGCAUUAAACCACUGUUGCACACGAUUCAGAACUUUUUCAGCUGUAGUGAAUAAAGAUUUUCUGUCUUCACUUAUAAUUUUGUUUGUGUCAUCUACAAAUAACAUAAUUUUGGAUGAACUGUUUGGGAUUUUAAUGUCAUUAUAUAAAUCAAGAAAAAUAAUGGGCCAAGAACUCUAACCUGCAGGACACCUGCUUCCACUUUCUUACUUAUUUUAAGGUGAGUUCCACAACUUAAGUUCUAUCUUGGAGACAGGAUUCAAACAAUUUCCUCCCAAUUCCUCCAAUGCCUAUUGCCUCCAGUUUGUCAAGUAUAAUUUGAUGGUUUACCGUAUCAAAAGGCCUUGGAAAGCUCUAGGUUGAUUCCCACCACACUUUUGCUAUUGUGUAAAUUCAUAACAUACUCUUCUGUAUAGGCUUGCAUAGCUGUUUCUGUGUUGUGACCUGUAUGAAAGAUAUGCUGGCAAUAAUUCAGAAUACUGAAGGUGUCAAGGUAGCUUAUGAGUUGGAUUUUUAUCAGUUUUUCAAAUAUUUUUGAAAAAGAUUGAAGGAAGGAUAUAGGUCUGUAGUUUCCUACCUUCCAUGCAUCUCCAUGUUUGAAUAGUCGUCUAACCUGAAAGAUUUUCAGCCUCUAGGGGAACACACCUUACUGAAUGAGAAACUGGCAAUAUCUAUCAGUGGUUCAGUGGUUUUAAACUCUGGGAGGCAACUUUUUUUUUUUUUUUUUUUUUUUUUUUUUUUCCACUGGCACUUCGUCCAUUCCUGCAGACAUUUUUGAUUUCAGACUAUUACUUACUUUCAACGUUUCAUGUUCAUCUGUGGGACUUAUUAUCAAACUGCUGACUACUUUGAUGUUUUUAUUUUCUCUUGUUUGAUAAAGUUCUUGCUUAGUUUCUCAGGUACACUUCGAAAGUAAUUAUUAGUGUAACUUUAUAUCUUAUGGAAAACUGUUUUUACUCAGUAUCACAGUAUCUUAAAAACAGAAUUUGUAAAUAUACUGUACAUCUGAUGCCAGGAAGCUCUCCUUAAAAAUAUGUACGUACAAGUAUUGUAAAAAUGAAAGUGCAAAAGUGCCAAAUUGCAUUAUAUGUGAAAGAUAUCCCACUUACCUAAAGAAAAUUAUGUAAAAUCCCCAAGUAAAGAAUUUUCUGUUGCAAAUUAUGCUCAGACAAACAUCAUAAAAAUGACCCUACCAAAUAAUACUCGAUAUAACAGUAUUGAAAUUAAUGAAAUUUUGUCCAACAUCUAGGGUAAAAUAUAUGUACAUAAAAGAUCUUGGGAUGUAAAUAAAUAAAUAAAUAAAUACAGACAAAGCUUCCAUCUUUAUUGUUAUGUUAUCUUUAGAUUUAAGUACAAUAUCCUGUUCCUUACUCUCUCUUUCAUUUCUCUUUGAACAAUUUCUCAUGGAGUUCUUGAUUUAUUGGCUGACUUCCUUAUUAAUCUAGCAUUAUUUAGUAUUUUU